GAUUGACCUCGGAUCAGGUAGGGAUACCCGCUGAACUUAAGCAUAUCAAUAAGCGGAGGAAAAGAAACCAACAGGGAUUGCCUCAGUAACGGCGAGUGAAGCGGCAACAGCUCAAAUUUGAAAUCUGGGCCUCUUGGGCCCCGAGUUGUAAUUUGUAGAGGAUGUUUCGGGUGAGGUACCGUUCUAAGUUCCUUGGAACAGGGCGUCAUAGAGGGUGAGAAUCCCGUACGUGACCGGUGACCGAUCCCAUGUGAAACUCCUUCGACGAGUCGAGUUGUUUGGGAAUGCAGCUCAAAAUGGGUGGUAAAUUUCAUCUAAAGCUAAAUACUGGCCAGAGACCGAUAGCGCACAAGUAGAGUGAUCGAAAGAUGAAAAGCACUUUGGAAAGAGAGUUAAACAGUACGUGAAAUUGUUGAAAGGGAAGCGCUUGCAGCCAGACUCGCCCGGGGGUAAUCAACCGUUCUUCGGAUCGGUGCACUUCCCCCCGGUCGGGCCAGCAUCGGUUCGGGCGGUCAGAUAAAGGUUCUGGGAAUGUAGCUCCUCUCGGGGAGUGUUAUAGCCCAGGACGUAAUGUGGCCAGCCUGGACCGAGGACCGCGCUUU
rnacentral:rRNA from 2 species